rnacentral:rRNA from 1 species
UACGAGGGGGGCAAAUGUUGUUCGGAAUCACUGGGCGUAAAGGGAGCGUAGGCGGGCUUCUAAGUUAGGUGUUUAAUCCCAGGGCCCAACCCUGGUCAGGCACCUAAAACUGGGAGUCUUGAAUAGUGGAGAGGACGAUGGAAUUGGGGGUGUAGCGGUGGAAUGCGUAGAGAUGUGGAGGAACACCAGUGGCGAAGGCGGCUUUCUGGUCUGUAACUGACGCUGAGGCGCGAAAGCGUGGGGAGCGAACAGG